AUGGCUAUAUCAUGUUGAAACAUUGGUUCCCAUACGAUAACUGAAGUUAAGCAACAUCAAGCCUGGUUAGUACCUAGAUGGGUGACUACUUGGGAAUACCAGGCACUGUAA